UACGUAGGGUCCGAGCGUUGUCCGGAAUUAUUGGGCGUAAAGGGCUCGUAGGCGGUUCGUCACGUCGGGAGUGAAAACUCGGGGCUCAACCCCGAGCCUGCAGUCGAUACGGGCAGACUAGAGUCCGGCAGGGGAGACUGGAAUUCCUGGUGUAGCGGUGAAAUGCGUAGAUAUCAUUUGGAACGCCAAUGGUGAAAACAGGUAGCUGGGAGUGUGCUGACGCUGAGACACGAAGCCAGGGGAGCAAACGGG
rnacentral:rRNA from 1 species